ANAGUUUGAUUAUGGCUCAGAACGAACGUUGGUGGCGUGGUUUAGGCAUGCAAGUCGAACGAGAAAGUUUCCUUCGGGGAACAAGUAGAGUGGCAAAAGGGAGAGUAAUGACUAGCUAACCUACCUCUUGAUCUGGAAUAACCUUCCGAAAGGAUUGCUAAUACCGGAUGGUCUCACACCGAAUAAUCUAUGUGAGUAAAGGUGGCAUCACUUGUGGUGCUAUUGUCAAGAGAUGGGGCUAGUUCCUAUUAGCUAGAUGGUGGGGUAAUGGCCUACCAUGGCGAUGAUGUCUCGGGGGUGUGAGAGCAUGGCCCCCACGACCGGAACUGAGACACUGUCCGGACACCUACGGGUGGCUGCAGUCGAGAAUCUUCCGCAAUGGGCGAAAGCCUGACGGAGCGACGCCGCGUGCGGGAUGAAGGCCCUUGGGUUGUAAACUGCUGUCAGAGGGGAUGAACUCAUGGUAGGUUACCCUUCCAUGUUGACAAAGCCUCAGAGGAAGCACGGGCUAAGUACGUGCCAGCAGCCGCGGUAACACGUACUGUGCGAACGUUAUUCGGAAUCACUGGGCUUAAAGGGUACGUAGGCGGUUUGCCAAGUCAGAUGUGAAAUGCCACAGCUCAACUGUGGCACUGCGUUUGAAACUGGCAGGCUAGAGUAUUCCAGGGGUGUGCGGAACUUAUGGUGGAGCGGUGAAAUGCGUUGAUAUCAUGAGGAACACCGGAGGCGAAGGCGGCACACUGGGGGAUUACUAACGCUGAGGUACGAAAGCCAGGGUAGCGAACGGGAUUAGAUACCCCGGUAGUCCUGGCUGUAA
rnacentral:rRNA from 1 species